rnacentral:rRNA from 1 species
UGAGUAACCUGCCCUUCACUCUGGGAUAACUCCGGGAAACCGGGGCUAAUACUGGAUAUGACUCGAACAGGCAUCUGUUUCGGGUGGAAAGAUUUAUUGGUGGAGGAUGGACUCGCGGCCUAGCAGCUUGUUGGUGAGGUAAUGGCUCACCAAGGCGACGACGGGUAGCCGGCCUGAGAGGGUGUCCGGCCACACGUGGGACUGGGAUACCGGCCCAGACCUCCGUACGGGAGGCA